UGUCGGAGUUCAAGUCUACAGGUGCGAGGAACAACAUUGUUACUCAGUUUUAGCUAAAUAUAAUUUACGUUAUUCUUUGCAUGUAUCGAAAUAGCUACUCUUUACCAAGUGAGCUAAUUUGUCCACAAGUUUAGAGAAGAAUAUCUCUGUAAUCAGCUCAGCCUAUCUCAUACGAAAACACCCAAUUCACUUAUGGGGCCCUGUGCACCACCACUAGAACUGAUGACCACGACCACUCUUCCAAGAGUUCAAACGACUAAGAAGAAGUGCUACGUGGGAUUCUGGCACUUUACUCUAGUAGUCACUUGUAAGGCUACAAGGUAGUACUACCACCCUGUACCACCGCGAAAUAGUAUUUAUCACAUUGAAGUUUGAAGAGUGAGACAGUCGAAGUAUAAAACUGAACUAAAACUGUUGAAUGUGAAAAAAACACAACUAAUCUUAGGUACAAGCAUAAGAUUGAUAGCACAAGAACAUAAUAAAAAGUAUCUGGAAUCUGCGUUACAUUAACGCGGGGCAUUCUAUAAUAGAGAAUGUUUUAUAGUUUUUAAUAUCCCUGGAUGUAAGCAAUAACGGCUUCGAGCACAACGACUUUCAUAAAACGUUAUAUGAUUUUUACGUUACGAUACUCAAUUACCAGGUUCGUACGAGACUGCGGUGUUUUUGCGUAGAACUAAAGUCAUAGUUCUAGAAGCAUUUGUACCGCUACCAGGAUAUUAAUGCGAUACCUUCAACACAAUGCUUGUAAAAGCAGAAAUAUAAGUAAUAAAUAGAUGCUUUCAUUAAUUUUAAAUAAAGUAUGUACUUAGAAAGCUAAAUAACAUAAUUUCAGCAUUAAAACUAAUUUGGUAUUCUCAUUUAAUGUUUCACUAGAUGAUGACCGAGCUUUGCUCGGUUUUUUUUUAACGCCAUCUUGUGUCUUUAAAGCGGUUAGUUGCCCUCAAUGAAGAAAAAUAGUAUUAUUAUUCGCCAAUACAUGUCGGGAAGAGUUGAUUAUUGAAAACACGAAUAGAACAACAUUUUCUGAAAAUAAAUCGUAGCUAGAUCGAUUUAUCGCCCCCGAAAUCCCCUGUAUACUAAAUUUUAUGAAAAUCGUUGGAGCCGUUUCCGAGAUUCAGAUUAUAUAAGUAUAUAUUAAUAUACAAGAAUUGCUCGUUUAAAGGUAUACGAUAAAACGAACAGAACUGCAACGUUGCAUAGAGUUGGAUGCAUUGCAAUCUAUCUGUUUCUGAGGCGACCAUGAAUUGCGGGUGCUAAUUAAAUUAGUAUUCAAAAAAUAAUUGUGAAAGUUUUACUUUAUUAGUAUUAAAUUAAUAUUUAUUUU